rnacentral:rRNA from 1 species
CCAAAGAUUUAUCGCUCUGAGAUGAGCUCGCGUCUGAUUAGCUGUUGGCGGGGUAACGGCCCACCAAGGCGACGAUCAGUAGCCGGACUGAGAGGUUGGCCGGCCACAUUGGGACUGAGACACGGCCCAGACUCCUACGGGAGGCAGCAG